AAAAUUAGUAUAGAGGGGGAAAAGAUCAUCUUUUCUUCCUUUUUAUGCAUAUAUCCUAUCCUUGGGGUCAUUCAUUAUUUUUAUUGUUAAAUUUAAUUACAUUCACAAACUGUGUUAAAGGACUCCAACCAUCCCAUACUGUCCCAAAGCAGUUGCUCCUGUGUUGCUGGGACAGCACUGCGCAACCACAUUGUUGCGCUACUGUACCAGACAGCACAUUACUCUCGGUUUGGCAUCAGUGCAGUUCCUCCAGUUCAACUCUGUACUGAAACUGAGCAGAUCUGGCACAAACCCAGAUCAAUGGAAACACUGGCUUUAUCCUAAUGCGUCCACUUGGUAUUCUUAGGGAAUCAGACCAGGUCCUGUCAUUGGAUGAUGGUUCUCUCUACACGACCUAAAGAAAGGAAACUCGCUGAUGGCUUAAGGAGUACCCUGUAUAGAGGUUUUACCAGAGAGCUGCCUGACCUCUCAGUCCUGCAAUGGGGAUGUCCAGCGAGACAUACCAACAGCCAGCAGCAACAUCCCGCCACAUUACUCCCCAUCAAGAUGCCCCACAACCACCACCUCUACCACUUGAUGGAUGUUGAAUCUGUGGCCCAGGUCCCUCUGUAUUAGACCGACCAAGAGAUGGACCAUGAAGUGGAAAAACUAAUUGAUGAUGCUUUGCCUGUUACUCCAGCUUCACUUGUCCUUGGGGCUGCUCUUGCUCUGGUCACACAAACCAUGUUGUGGGAUGCAGGUUUCCUAUCUGUCACUCACUCGACGUUGUGUUGAUGUAGUGACACUAGG